rnacentral:rRNA from 1 species
GAUGAACGCUGGCGGCGUGCCUAAUACAUGCAAGUCGAGCGAACAGACGAGGAGCUUGCUCCUCUGACGUUAGCGGCGGACGGGUGAGUAACACGUGGAUAACCUACCUAUAAGACUGGGAUAACUUCGGGAAACCGGAGCUAAUACCGGAUAAUAUAUUGAACCGCAUGGUUCAAUAGUUAAAGACGGUUUUGCUGUCACUUAUAGAUGGAUCCGCGCCGCAUUAGCUAGUUGGUAAGGUAACGGCUUACCAAGGCGACGAUGCGUAGCCGACCUGAGAGGGUGAUCGGCCACACUGGAACUGAGACACGGUCCAGACUCCUACGGGAGGCAGCAGUAGGGAAUCUUCCGCAAUGGGCGAAAGCCUGACGGAGCAACGCCGCGUGAGUGAUGAAGGUCUUCGGAUCGUAAAACUCUGUUAUUAGGGAAGAACAAAUGUGUAAGUAACUAUGCACGUCUUGACGGUACCUAAUCAGAAAGCAACGGCUAACUACGUG